UCAAUAUGGUUGUUCACCAUUGGAUUGUAUAAAUCUUUCGCCUUUUACUAAAGAUUUCCGUGGAGAGGAACAAUCAGGGUUUUAAUUAAUUUUUUGAAAUUUUGUGGAGAAAAUAAAGC